UUAGCCUAAUUUGAAUAUUCCGGACACUUUUCGUGUUUUGACUUUUUCGAUCCGGAGUACGGUUUUCCCCGGAGUCGGUCCGGCGGAGUUUUUCGGGUAUUUUAAUUGUUGAUAAUUAUCCAGUUUGUCUCGAUAAACGUGAAACAAGAUAUUUUGAUUAUUAUAUUCAUCCUUAUCUUGUAAUAAUUGCAAUGGGACCCGCAGACCAAUAAUUGAGUUAAAAAGCCCCGUUUUGAUGAUUAUCUCGAAAACCAGUACCGAUUGGACCCCGCUUUAUUAAUAUAAAGCUAUUAAAUACGUAUUUUCAUGUCAUAUACGAUAAAAAGGGGUACCAGUUAUUUGUAAAUAUAAAUAGACCUUUCUAGAGCUUAUUUUCACCCGUAAAAUCAUUUCACCAGUUUCUCUGCACGAAUACCGAGAGAAACCGAGCAGUGUUCUUCGUGUUCUUCAUAAUCAAACGAGGAUUUGAAGGUGUUAUUGGAGUCAGAAUCAAGCGUGCAAAUAGUCAAAUCGAAGAUAUUGAAGAGUAGAACCCAAAUCAAUCAUCAAAAACAACAUGAGAUUCACAGAAAGGCUUAAAGAUGAGAUGAUUGAUUGAGAUUGUGAAUAAGGCUAAUGCUAGGCGAGGAGACAGAGUUGAGGAUCCAGUGGUCGAGGAGUGUUCAGGAAAGUUGAUGAGGUUGGUGCAAGCUAGAGCUGUGCUAUAGGGAUUCAAGUAAAGGCUUAAAGAUGAGAUGAUUGAUUGAGAUUGUGAAUAAGGCUAAUGCUAGGCGAGGAGACAGAGUUGAGGAUCCAGUGGUCGAGGAGUGUUCAGGAAAGUUGAUGAGGUUGGUGCAAGCUAGAGCUGUGCUAUAGGGAUUCAAGUGUAAGUCAUAGCUGGAAUAGUUGACAGCGAUUCGUCUUAUCGAAGAUGAUCUGAUUUGGUAA